rnacentral:rRNA from 1 species
UACGUAGGUGGCAAGCGUUAUCCGGAUUUACUGGGUGUAAAGGGCGUGUAGGCGGGGACGCAAGUCAGAUGUGAAAACCACGGGCUCAACCUGUGGCCUGCAUUUGAAACUGUGUUUCUUGAGUACUGGAGAGGCAGACGGAAUUCCUAGUGUAGCGGUGAAAUGCGUGGAUAUUAGGAGGAACACCGGUGGCGAAGGCGGUCUGCUGGACAGCAACUGACGCUGAGGCGCGAAAGCGUGGGGAGCAAACAGG